rnacentral:ncRNA from 1 species
GUAAAAAUAAGAAAACAUCGAAAAGAAUCGCUAUAGCGAAAUCUGCUAUGUGGCAGAAA